CCCAGGCGUGGUUGCGCGUGCCUGUAGACCCAGCUACUCAGGAGGCUGAGGCUGGAGGAUUUCUUGAGUCCAGGAGUUCUGGGUGGUAGUGCGCUAUGCCAAUCAGGUGUCUGCACUAAGUUUGUUUGGCAUCGAUAUGGUGACCUCCUGGGAGCGGGGGACCACCGGGUUGCCUGAGGAGGGGUGAACUGGCCCAGGUCAGAAACAAAGCAGAUUAAAACUCCUGUGCUGAUCAGUAGUGGGAUCGAGCCUGUGAAUAGCCACUGCGCUUCAGCCUGGGCAACAUAGCAAGACCCUGUGUCUU
ensembl:misc_RNA Metazoa_SRP Metazoan signal recognition particle RNA